rnacentral:misc_RNA from 1 species
GAUGAAGAACGCAGUGAAAUGCGAUAAGUAAUGUGAAUUGCAGAAUUCAGUGAAUCAUCGAAUCUUUGAACGCACAUUGCGCCCGCCAGUAUUCUGGCGGGCAGGCCUGUCUGAGCGUCAUUUCAACCCUCAUGCCCCUAGGGCGUGGUGUUGGGGAUCGGCCAAAGCCCGCGAGGGACGGCCGGCCCCUAAAUCUAGUGGCGGACCCGUCGUGGCCUCCUCUGCGAAGUAGUGAUAUUCCGCAUCGGAGAGCGAUGAGCCCCUGCCGUUAAACCCCCAACUUUCCAAGGUUGACCUCAGAUCAGGUAGGAAUACCCGCUGAACUUAAGCAUAUCAAUAAGCGGAGGA